GAUGAAGAACGCAGCGAAAUGCGAUAAGUAAUGUGAAUUGCAGAAUUCAGUGAAUCAUCGAAUCUUUGAACGCACCUUGCGCCCUUUGGCCAUUCCGAAGGGCAUGCCUGUUUGAGUAUCAUGAACACCUCAACUCUUCAUGGUUAUCCGUGAUGAGCUUGGACUUUGGGGGUCUUGCUGGCCUAUGGUCAGCUCCUCUAAAAUAAAUCAGCUUGCCAGUGUUUGGUGGGUAUCACAGGUGUGAUAACUAUCUACGCUUGUGGUUUUCCACCAGGUAACCUUCAGCAGUGGAGGUUCGCUGGAGCUCACAGAUGUGUCUCUCCUCAGUGAGGACAGCUCUUUGAAUGUUUGAUCUCAAAUCAGGUAGGACUACCCGCUGAACUUAAGCAUAUCAAUAAGCGGAGGA
rnacentral:misc_RNA from 1 species